UACGUAGGAUGCGAGCGUUGUCCGGAAUUACUGGGUGUAAAGGGAGCGCAGGCGGGUUAGUAAGUCGGCGGUGAAAUCUUCGGGCUCAACCCGAAAGCUGCCACCGAUACUGCUGAUCUUGGGUGCAGAAGAGGUUGAUGGAAUUCUUGGUGUAGCGGUGAAAUGCGUAGAUAUCAAGAAGAACACCGAUGGCGAAGGCAGUCAACUGGUCUGUAACCGACGCUCAUGCUCGAAAGCGUGGGGAUCAAACAGG
rnacentral:rRNA from 1 species